UACGGGGGGGCAAGCGUUGUUCGGAAUUACUGGGCGUAAAGGGCUCGUAGGUGGCCAACUAAGUCAGACGUGAAAUCCCCAGGCUUAACCUGGGAACUGCGUCUGAUACUGGAUGGCUUGAGUUUGGGAGAGGGAUGCGGAAUUCCAGGUGUAGCGGUGAAAUGCGUAGAUAUCUGGAGGAACACCGGUGGCGAAGGCGGCAUCCUGGACCAACACUGACACUGAGGAGCGAAAGCCAGGGGAGCAAACGGG
rnacentral:rRNA from 1 species